rnacentral:rRNA from 1 species
GGGAUCCUACGGGGGGCAGCAGUGGGGAAUAUUGGGCAAUGGGCGCAAGCCUGACCCAGCAACGCCGCGUGAAGGAAGAAGGCUUUCGGGUUGUAAACUUCUUUUGUCAGGGACGAAGCAAGUGACGGUACCUGACGAAUAAGCCACGGCUAACUACGUGCCAGCAGCCGCGGUAAUACGUAGGUGGCAAGCGUUAUCCGGAUUUACUGGGUGUAAAGGGCGUGUAGGCGGGGAGGAAAGUCAGAUGUGAAAAC